rnacentral:rRNA from 2 species
UGAUGGAGCACGCCGCGUGAGUGAAGAAGGGUUUCGGCUCGUAAAACUCUGUUGUUAAAGAAGAACAUAUCUGAGAGUAACUGUUCAGGUAUUGACGGUAUUUAACCAGAAAGCCACGGCUAACUACGUGCCAGCAGCCGCGGUAAUACGUAGGUGGCAAGCGUUGUCCGGAUUUAUUGGGCGUAAAGCGAGCGCAGGCGGUUUUUUAAGUCUGAUGUGAAAGCCUUCGGCUCAACCGAAGAAGUGCAUCGGAAACUGGGAAACUUGAGUGCAGAAGAGGACAGUGGAACUCCAUGUGUAGCGGUGAAAUGCGUAGAUAUAUGGAAGAACACCAGUGGCGAAGGCGGCUGUCUGGUCUGUAACUGACGCUGAGGCUCGAAAGUAUGGGUAGCAAACAGGAUUAGAUACCCUGGUAGUCCAUACCGUAAACGAUGAAUGCUAAGUGUUGGAGGGUUUCCGCCCUUCAGUGCUGCAGCUAACGCAUUAAGCAUUCCGCCUGGGGAGUACGGCCGCAAGGCUGAAACUCAAAGGAAUUGACGGGGGCCCGCACAAGCGGUGGAGCAUGUGGUUUAAUUCGAAGCUA